AGCAGCCGCGGUAAUUCCAGCUCCAAUAGCGUAUAUUAAAGUUGCUGCAGUUAAAAAGCUCGUAGUUGAAUUUCGGGACCAAUAUGUCGGUCGUGCUUUUGUACGUACUGAUAUAAUUGGUUUCUCCCUUCUGAAGAACCUUGAUGUCAUUAAUUUGGUGUCUUGGGGAAUCAGGACUGUUACUUUGAAAAAAUUAGAGUGUUUAAAGCAGGCUCGCGCUUGAAUACAUUAGCAUGGAAUAAUGAAAUAGGACGUUUGAUUCUAUUUUGUUGGUUUCUAGGAUCGACGUAAUGAUUAAUAGGGAUAGUUGGGGGCAUUAGUAUUCAAUUGUCAGAGGUGAAAUUCUUGGAUUUAUUGAAGACUAACUACUGCGAAAGCAUUUGCCAAGGAUGUUUUCAUUAAUCAAGAACGAAAGUUAGGGGAUCGAAGACGAUCAGAUACCGUCGUAGUCUUAACCAUAAACUAUGCCGACUAGGGAUCGGA
rnacentral:rRNA from 1 species